UACGUACUGUGCGAACGUUAUUCGGAAUCACUGGGCUUAAAGGGUGCGUAGGCGGCCUGUUAAGUAGGGUGUGAAAUGCCAGAGCUCAACUUUGGCAUUGCGCUCUAAACUGGCAGGCUUGAGUGAGAUAGGGGUGUGCGGAACUUCCAGUGGAGCGGUGAAAUGUGUUGAUAUUGGAAGGAACGCCGGUGGCGAAAGCGGCACACUGGGUCUUAACUGACGCUGAUGCACGAAAGCCAGGGGAGCGAACGGG
rnacentral:rRNA from 1 species